rnacentral:lncRNA from 1 species
AAAUUACGCUGACAUUGACCUCUAGAAAGCUCCAUCUACCCUUCCUGGUGCCACCUGCCAAUCCAAGGAAGAGUCCCAAAUGACCAUCCUCUCCCUGCUUUCUCCAAGUUGCGAGCCCACACGCGACGUGCAGAGCUCUCUCCGUUCAGUCCAGCCAGUGCCGCUCUCGGAAGACCUGGCAAGUCUGCAAGUCCUGGAGCGAGUUGCAGCGUCCCAGCCGCACCUCGCCACCCGCCUGGAGAUGCGCCUUUGCUAGGCGGCAGCGCGUGGAGAGAUAGUCGCAGGUCGCCGGGGCGGAGCGCACCAGGUUCCCGGGAGGAGGCGGGAGCUGGGGGGCGCCCGGGGUGAGACCGCGACACCGUCAACAUCAUAAAGGACUCAGACCCCUACAUUCCCGACAUCAUAAACAACUCAGAUAGAUGCGGAAACCGAGACGGCCUGGAUGGAAAACUCUUUCAAACUUUGAUCCACACAAUUAUUCUCUUUCUUGGUCUUUGAAUUUGGGCAAACGACAAGCGAGGCAUAGAGAUCGCUUCAACUCGCUCCCCGCGGCUCGCCCAGACGUUAGGGUUUGGGGCCGCCGUUUGACUUUGGCCCUGCAGGUCAAAAUCAGCCUUUCUGGGCCUGUCUUCUCGGGGGCCAGGGGCAGGGCCUGGUCCUCUCUGCGCGCCCGCAACCCUGCACCCCUUUCCUGUGACCUGCGGCGAAGCUCGGCGGGGGACCGGGUAUUCAAUUGACCAGGAGUCCGCGAGGCGCAGAUGCAGGAGUGCUGGGACGCUCGCGAUGAGUUUGCAGUUCCUGCCGGCUCCAGCAACGCCCCGGGUCAGUCCGGGGCGUUGCUUUGUUGCAACUCCGAAGGCGCCAAGGCAGGGAGGGACCGGUAGGCGAAGGGCAGCCGCGCUCUUGCACUCUGUUUCAGUCCUCCAGUCGCUGUUGAAUGGAGUUUCCAUCUCCAGUCUCAGCCAAAGCAGGCAAGGCGGACAACCUCGCCCUGGCAACUAUAUCUUGAGGAAGAUGCAUAAUAUGAGUAAAGUGACGGAAGACCUAGAGACCAAGCGGGUUGCCCAGUCCCAGACUAAGCCUCAGAUCUGGUGCAGCAGCCACACCUGGUCUGCCUCACAUCACUCGCUGAACAGCAUAUCUCUGCGACUUGACAGGCAGGAAGUGCGUCCUUCAGUGACUGUAGUCAGAUCAUCCAGUCUUCUCUGGAUUACUGCAAAAACCUCAAGUCCUGUGGUCCCUAAUCCAUUCUUCACACUGCUGCCAGGGAAGUCUUAGGGUUGUCGUGAUGGUUAUAUGAGUUAAACACUUACAAAAGUUGUCUGGCAUAUGCUGAGCACUAUUUUAGUGUUGAUUUUUAUUAUCAUUGUCAUCAUCUUUCUAAAAUAAAAAUCUGAUUAAAUUAUGUCCCAGAUUAUAAAACUCUCAAUAGUUCCUAACAGAUUUGAAGGUACAUUUUAACUCUUUGUUAAAAAUUCUACCAAAGUACUUGUUGUUCUAAUACAAUAUAUUGUUUCAUGCCUCUUUACCUUUACAUGUAUUUUCC